rnacentral:lncRNA from 1 species
GCCACUGCAGAUCUUUAAGAUCCCCAUAGUGAAUGGACAUUUCUGGCCUGCAUCUGACAGAGAUAUUCUCAGGCCAAGAAGAAAGCAAAGAAGGGACACCAGUGCUGUGUCAAGAGGGCAGAUGGCUUGGAGAGGAGCAAAAGCUUGGAGUGAAAUAA